rnacentral:rRNA from 1 species
UACGUAGGGGGCCAGCGUUGUCCGGAAUCAUUGGGCGUAAAGCGCGCGUAGGCGGCCAGAUAAGUCCGGUGUGAAAGUCAAAGGCUCAACCUUUGAAUGCCGCUGGAAACUGCCUGGCUUGAGUCCGGAAGGGGCGAGUGGAAUUCCUGGUGUAGCGGUGAAAUGCGCAGAUAUCAGGAGGAACACCGGUGGCGAAGGCGACAUCCUGGACCGGUAUUGACGCUGAGGCGCGAAAGCCAGGGGAGCAAACGGG